GAUCUACAGCUUUCGCCAUCCGUAUCCUGGAUCCAACGGACGAGAUUUUUUGCCGACAUCCAUGCCUAGGACACGUGGAGUGGGGAUGUGGCCACUACCAAUUCACGGCUCCAUUCGUCGUCUCAAGCCUCGAAAAUAUCUCGUUCGCCAUCCGGCCUAGAUUUUAAUUAAUUGAGGCAGGAGUUUAUUUGAGAUUUUUUUCCUCUUCGAAAGCUCGCGUCUACAAGGUUGCCCGAUAGGAUUCAUUUGCCACGCCAGCAGCGAUGGAGUGGUACGAAAUGCUUAUUUUUGAUAAAUUUUGGAGAUGUUUUUGCUUUUAGUUUGCCAAAAAGGUUUGAAUGGAGAUUCUUCUCGAUUUCUUAGUCAUUGGUGAACAAAAGACAACAGAGAAGAAAAAUAAAUAAAAACAGAGUAUUUGAUGCAAAAUUUCCAUCUGAAGAGGAAGAGACGACCGACAAGUUAUCGCAUUGGUGAUUGGUCCAUGCCAGCAAGUUCCAGAUGGAUGAAUUCCCGUAAUGUUUUGAAUCAGGACACAGGCAACAUAUUGGGACACAGGUAUGCAUGGCCAAUCCAAACAUAACAACACAAAAUUUCUUAUAGUAACAUUACUAUGGAGGCUGCAGAGAGCACCACACGGUUCCUCUUCUUGUGAGUUAUUUAAAAAAUGAUAGCAAAUAAUGGAGCCGUUGAUCAAAAGUUCAACAUGACGCCAUAUUACAAAGAACAGAUUUCACUUCCUGUGUCAUCAACAGAAUUCCAGUAAUUAGAACUGAACAUGACGUGUACAGAUUUGGCUUAUGAUCAACAGAGAUCCAGUAGAUCAGGAUUGCACAACGUACUACCGUCCCUCGUUUCAGAUAACGAUAUUACAUAAGAAGGCACACACGAACUAUGGUGAUAUUAUGGGUUGGAUUUCAUACACCUUAAAAGGCAAAACGAAUGGCUCAGGGUAGUUGAUUAUACACGACCUGAUACAACAUAAUGUCAUCAUACAGGGCAAAGCACAACAUGCAUGAUUAUUACUGUACAACAUGCAGGUUGUGAGGCAGCAUGGACAAGUUAAUGUGAAAAUGGAUCAAUGAUCAUUGGAGCAUAGGCACUCAUCAACCAACUGGCGCAGGUUGGGGUUCUCCAAGGCUGCUGCAACUCUCUCCUUGUCAUUCAGUUGUUUGUUUACUGUCAUUUGAAACCCAUCACAUGUUAAUAUCACAAAUACUAAAGUAUCCCAGCUGCAAUUCUAUUUUAUGCUAUUGAUAUUCUGCUGA